rnacentral:rRNA from 1 species
AAAAUCGGCCGUCGCGUGCACAUUUUGCCGAGCUCUGACUUAGAUGGAUAGUUCACCACUGCAGUUAAAUAGCGUUGGGCACGGUUAGUACUUGGAUGGGUGACCACUUGGGAACACCGUGUACUGUUGGUG